rnacentral:rRNA from 1 species
AUUGAACGCUGGCGGCAGGCCUAACACAUGCAAGUCGAACGAGUGGCGGACGGGUGAGUAAUGUCUGGGAAACUGCCUGAUGGAGGGGGUUAACUACUGGAAACGGUAGCUAAUACCGCCUACCAUCGGAUGUGCCCAGAUGUGCUUGGCUAGUAGGUGGGGUAACGGCUCACCUGGGGGACGACCCCUAGCUGGUCUGAGAGGAUGACCAGCCACACUGGAACUGAGACACGGUCCAAACUCCGACGGGAGGCAGCAGUGGGAAAUAUUGCACAAGGGGCGAAAGCCGGAUGAAGCCAGGCCGCGUGGAUGAAGAAGGCCUUCGGGUGGUAAAGUACUUUCAGCGGGGAGGCGUUACCCGCAGAAGAAGCACCGGCUAACUCCGUGCCAGCAGCCGCGGUAAUUC